GGCGAGGAUCACGCAGGUAAGGCUUUUAACUCCAGACACACAGCUACACUAGUUCAACAAGCUAGUCUUGACAGGUUUGUUUUUUGCAUCGCUAGCUAGUUAAACCUAACGUGCUUAUUGGACCAGGUUCAGCUAAAUGGAAACUUUAACCAUAACUUUAAGUCAGUUAAUAACACGCGGCCACCGAAACACUUUUUUCACCGGAACAACUCGGUUGAAACGGGAUGUUGUUGUGCCGACGCUCCAGCAUGUCUGCCGUGUCUUUUCUUGCUCCAUGUGAGCAGCUAAGUAAAGAGAUCCGCUCCUGAUGCAUCUACAGCUGAUGUUAUUCUUUUAAACGCAGCAUUAAAGCGUCUUCUAAGCAAAGAGACGGGCCGCGGAGUGAAAGCGAUGAAAAGUACACUCGUAGUGCAUCAGCACGAGUUUCACUACUCGGCUUCUUUGCACUUCAUUAUUGAUCCGCGUUAUAAACAUCUUACAUGUGGGAAUAAAGCAGCGCGCAUGAGAAAUGAUCCAGGCCGCGUGGAUGCAUGAAAUAAUUUGACUGAAUUGUUGUAGUGACUAGUCAUUUUAUUUGAAGGCUGAAAAAAUCUGGACAAGGCGUAAUGUCUGUCAUUCUCUCAGUAUACAAUUGUUUUGUUAUUGCACAUCAAAAAGUAUCUUUGAAUGUUCAACUUUGAUUGUUUAGUGAUUAACUUUGUCCAUUUCUGUCCCCAGAACAGUCCACAGGAGACUGAUUCUGUCCCACCUGCCUCUCCUACCAGCAGCAUUCAUGAGAACAGUCCACAGGAGACUGAUCCUGUCCCGCCUGCCUCUCCUGCCAGCAGCAUUCAUGAGAACAGUCCACAGGAGACUGAUCCUGUCCCACCUGCCUCUCCUACCAGCAGCAUUCAUGAGAACAGUCCACAGGAGACUGAUCCUGUCCCGCCUGCCUCUCCUGCCAGCAGCAUUCAUGAGGUAAAUAAUUUAAAAAUUCAAUAUUUCUCUGUAACAUUUUGUAUACACAUCCUAAACACAUCCAUCCAUCCAUUCAAAAUUAGCAUCUCAGACUUAAAAUCCUUGGGUAAUCUGCUU
ensembl:lncRNA